AAUGUAUUCACAGGGCAGGACAGUAAGCUUUUACUCAGAGCUCCUGUGGAUUUUGAAGCAACAGCAACAAAGAGCAGCAGGAGAAAACACUGAUUGGCUCUAGCCCAAGUGGGAGGAGAGUCAGAAGU